rnacentral:rRNA from 1 species
UACGGAGGGUGCGAGCGUUGUCCGGAAUCAUUGGGCGUAAAGGGCGCGUAGGUGGCCCGGUCAGCGUGCGGUGAAAGCUCGGGGCUCAACCCCGAGUCGGCCGUGCGAACUGCUGGGCUGGAGCACUGUAGAGGCAGGCGGAAUUCCGGGUGUAGCGGUGGAAUGCGUAGAUAUCUGGAGGAACACCGGUGGCGAAGGCGGCAUCCUGGACCAACACUGACACUGAUGAGCGAAAGCCAGGGGAGCAAACGGG